rnacentral:rRNA from 1 species
AACAUUGCCUUUCGAAUAUAUUAAAGGUACAUCCUGCCCAGUGACAAACGUUAAACGGCCGCGGUACCCUGACCGUGCUAAGGUAGCAUAAUCAUUUGCCUCUUAAUUGGUGGCUAGUAUGAAAGGACAAACGAGAGCAUAGCUGUCUCUUACUUACACCCUUAAAAUUAACCUCCGGGUGAAAAGGCCCGAAUUAUUUUAUAAGACAAGAAGACCCUGUCAAGCUUUACUAAAAAUAUCUACAACCAGAAAUUUAAACCAUCUGCUUUCCAUUUAAUAAUAGUUUAGUUGGGGCGACUAAGGACCAAACCUAACGUCCUUCCAAAAAAAAGGAUUAUAAUCCUACAAACCUGAUCCCUUAAAGGAUAAAGAGACAAGCUACUGCAGGGAUAACAGGCUAAUUUUCCCUGAGAGUCCAAAUCGAAGGGAAAGUUUGGCACCUCGAUGUUGGCUUAAGAUAACCAUAAAGUGCAGCAGCUUUAUAUGGUAGGUAUUGUUCACCCUUUAAAAUCUUACGUGAUCUGAGU